UGCAGUCGACGAUGAUCCGGUGCUUGCGCCGGGGAUUAGUGUCGUCGAACGGGUGAGUAACACGUGAGUAACCUGCCCUUGACUCUGGGAUAAGCCUGGGAAACUGGGUCUAAUACCGGAUAUGACUCCUCAUCGCAUGGUGGGGGGUGGAAAGCUUUUUGUGGUUUUGGAUGGACUCGCGGCCUAUCAGCUUGUUGGUGGGGUAAUGGCCUACCAAGGCGACGACGGGUAGCCGGCCUGAGAGGGUGACCGGCCACACUGGGACUGAGACACGGCCCAGACUCCUACGGGAGGCAGCAGUGGGGAAUAUUGCACAAUGGGCGAAAGCCUGAUGCAGCGACGCCGCGUGAGGGAUGACGGCCUUCGGGUUGU
rnacentral:rRNA from 1 species